rnacentral:rRNA from 1 species
AUUGAACGCUGGCGGCAUGCUUUACACAUGCAAGUCGAACGGUAACAGGCCUUCGGGUGCUGACGAGUGGCGCACGGGUGAGUAAUGCAUCGGAACGUACCCAGAGGUGGGGGAUAACGCAGCGAAAGCUGUGCUAAUACCGCAUGUGAUCUGAGGAUGAAAGCGGGGGACCGAGCAGCAAUGUUUGGCCUCGCGCCUUUGGAGCGGCCGAUGUCGGAUUAGCUAGUUGGUGGGGUAAAGGCCUACCAAGGCGGCGAUCCGUAGCUGGUCUGAGAGGACGACCAGCCACACUGGGACUGAGACACGGCCCAGACUCCUACGGGAGGCAGCAGUGGGGAAUGUUGGACAAUGGGCGCAAGCCUGAUCCAGCAAUGCCGCGUGCGGGAAGAAGGCCUUCGGGUUGUAAACCGCUUUUGGCAGGAACGAAACGGUGUCCGCUAAUACCGGGCGCUAAUGACGGUACCUGCAGAAUAAGCACCGGCUAACUACGUG